rnacentral:rRNA from 1 species
AUGUCGACGCGCUCCGCGAGCUCAGGACGGUGUUUCUCUCCUCUCCCACCCUCGUCUCCUUGGUUGAAAAGGAUCCAGAGAUCUCGCCGGCCACCGUUGAGUCAUCAUGGUAUAUGUAUCAUCGACCUCCUCUUCUAUUUGUUCACUUCUCCUAAUUCAUGCGCCCAUGAGCUCAAGCUCCGCGCCUUGCCUCUCUCGAACAUGACUGCUUCCACCCCUCUGGUGAAUUUACCUAUUUUUGAUAGACUAAUUUUUUUUGUGUCGUCAAGAGUGCAUCAGAUUAUUUGUGUUAUGAGUUUGGCAUCUAAACGGGGUUGGUAA